rnacentral:rRNA from 1 species
UACGUAAGGGGCGAGCGUUGUUCGGAAUUAUUGGGUGUAAAGGGCGUCUAGGCGGGAGAUUAAGUUAGAUGUGAAAGGCGUGGGCUUAACCCACGAAUUGCAUCUAAAACUGGUUUUCUUGAGUUCGGGAGAGGAGAGCGGAAUUCUUGGUGUAGCGGUGAAAUGCGUAGAUAUCAAGAAGAACACCAGUGGCGAAGGCGGCUCUCUGGCCUAGAACUGACGCUGAAGCGCGAAAGCGUGGGUAGCGAACGGGAUUAGAUACCCGUGUAGUCCCUGAGCGGG